rnacentral:tRNA from 1 species
GCCAGUAUAGCUCAGUGGUAGAGCAUCCGCCUUGUAAGCGGACGGUCAUCGGUUCAAGUCAGAUUACUGGCU